GGGCCCAUAGCUCAGCCAGGUUAGAGCGCUCGGCUCAUAACCGGGUCGUCAAGGGUUCGAAUCCCUUUGGGCCCA
rfam:Euryarchaeota archaeon HMET1 HMET1_1, whole genome shotgun sequence.